UGCGUGCACGCGCGCACGCAAGUGCACGUGCAAGUGAAAGAGAGAGAGAGAAUAUGCGGAUCACAGGAGGUUAGCCAGAGAGUGCCCACAUCAGGGAGUUAGGGGCUGUGAAGUACCCGCAAAUAGACCCUGCAAAAAAGUUAACAUUUGGAUUUACAGAUGCCGUGUAAGAGGCCAAGAAUAGGCAAUAGAGAAAUAUAAGGAGCACUGUCUAAGUGAAAAUAUUUUGUCUCUUUCUCUAGAAUCUUCUUCCCUUCUGGUCUGACUAGGAAAGCCAGAGGGAGAUGGUGAAGGAGACAGAGAGAGAGUAAAAGAACAGACCAUGCCCAGCCUCUCCACUGCAGGAGCUUGGAAUCAUUCUGGAGGCGGAAGCCUAAGAUCAAGGCACCAGCAAGUUUGGUGUCUCGUGAGGGCUGCUGUCUGCUUCCAAGAUGGCGCCUUGUUGUUGCAUCCUUGGGAGGGGAUGGAGAGAAAAAAACAAAAAGAGGCCUAGGCUGGUUGCCCCUAGCCCUUUUAUAAGGCACUAAUCCAUUCAUGAUGAGGGGAAAGCCCUCAUGACUUAAUCAUCUCACAAAAGUAACACAUUUUAAUAUCAUUACAAUGGGGAUUAGGUUUCUACAUGAAUUCUGGAGGGGACAUAUUCAAACCAUAGCACUCCACUUUCUACUUUCCCUUUUCCUAUUCUCUGCCUCCCUCUCUCCCCUGCCCCAUCUCGGUCACUGGGGUUUGUAUGCAUGUAUACAUAUAUGCAAAAUAUCUAAGUAUUUUGACAGGUGUUAAACACUGACCAUGGAUUCUCCUGGAACCUUUAUUCAACUCAGUUUAUUCUUUUGUAAAUAACAGUCACCAUUCAUUCCAUAAAUUGCCAGUGUACAAUUCAAUGAAUGUGGACAAUGUGAACACACAUAUAACACAACUCGCUCAAGAUUUAGAGAGUCCCUUGUGCUCCUUUGUAGGCAAUCUCCAAUUCUGAAGUAAGCCCAAGAUUUUCUUUCCUGGUAUUAAAUGGUCACUGCUUCCUUACCUGGUGAAACGCUGAGAAGAUGGCGGCAUGCAAAGCUCUAAGGUGCAACAGCUGGGGAGCCAAGCUGAAACCUCUCUUCCCUGUCUCAGCAUCUGGAGUCUUCAUGGAAGUGAGAAGUUUGCAGGUUUGCAGCUGCAGCCCUUUCAUGACAUGAAGCAGAGUUGCCAGCCAUCUAUGGAUCCUAACUAAAUUGGUCCUUGUAAUACUCGGUAUUAUUUGCCAAGAUAUUGAAAAACCUCUAAACAGUGAGAACUCCCAGCCCCUUUUCUGUGUCUCUCAUCACCAGCUGCUGUGCCCUGAGGACACCCAGGCAGCCUAAGGAGAGGCCCACAGGUGAGAAACUGCAUGUGUGAGCUGAGCUUGGAAGUGGAUCUUCUAUGUUUUGCCAACAGCCACGUGACUAGUUUUGGAAGCAGAUUCUCCAGCCCCAGCUGCACCUGUGCCAGAGGCACCCAUUAAGCCGCACCUAGUUAAAUUCCUGACCCACAAAGACUUUGAAAUCAUAAAUGUUUGUUGUUUUAAGCUGCUAAGUUUUGAAGUAAUCUGCCAUGUAGCAACAUGAAACUACUUGGACCAAAUAUGUGUUUUUCUAAGCACAGGAAUAUUCACACUUUAUU
rnacentral:lncRNA from 1 species